UACGAAGGGGGCUAGCGUUGCUCGGAAUCACUGGGCGUAAAGGGUGCGUAGGCGGGUCUUUAAGUCAGGGGUGAAAUCCUGGAGCUCAACUCCAGAACUGCCUUUGAUACUGAAGAUCUUGAGUUCGGGAGAGGUGAGUGGAACUGCGAGUGUAGAGGUGAAAUUCGUAGAUAUUCGCAAGAACACCAGUGGCGAAGGCGGCUCACUGGCCCGAUACUGACGCUGAGGCGCGAGAGCGUGGGGAGCAAACGGG
rnacentral:rRNA from 1 species